AACCUGGGACAAUGGGGGAAACCCUGACCCAGCCAUCCCGCUUGAAUGCUGUUGACCAUCGGGUUGUAAAGUACUUUUGGCAGAGAAGAAAAGGUAUCCCCUACUACGCGAUACUGCUGUCGGUAUCUGAAGAUUAAGCACCGGCUAACUCCGUGCCAGCAGCCGCGGUAAUACGUAGGGUGCAAUCGUUAAUCGGAAUUACUGGGCGUAAAGCGUGUGUAGGCGGUUCGGAAAGAAAGAUGUGAAAUCCCAGGGCGCAACCUUGGAACUGCAUUUUUAACUGCCGAGCUAGAGUAUGUCAGAGGGGGGUAGAAUUCCACGUGUAGCAGUGAAAUGCGUAGAUAUGUGGAGGAAUACCGAUGGCGAAGGCAGCCCCCUGGGAUAAUACUGACGCUCAGACACGAAAGCGUGGGGAGCAAACAGG
rnacentral:rRNA from 1 species